rnacentral:lncRNA from 1 species
CAUCCAUAUUAAGAGGGUAAGAAAAUAUUUCAUAUUAAUAUGUAACAUCCAUUAAUUGUUAAGGUUAAAAUUAUAUUUUUACCUAAGAAUGAAAUAAUAUGAUUUAUUAAAUUGAUGAUGUGUCUAUCUGACAUGACAUGCCACAUAUGUUUAAUAGAAAAUGACAUACUACUACCAUAAACAUUAGCAAAACACAAAAAACCUAGCUUUCAAAAUAUUUAGACAAAAAUGACAUAGAGCCCAGACCCAAAACACAUGGAGGAGGCUUNNNNNNNNNNNNNNNNNNNNGCAGAAUCAUAUGGAUGUUGACCCAAGAAAUUAAACGAGAUUGAGAUUGGGAUAGCCGUCUAUGAAGAUGGAUGCAAAUUGAUAUAUGAAUCUUGGGUAUUGCCCACGAAAUUGAACGAGCUUUCGAUCCUCGUUGAUCUGCACCACCCGUGUGUAGGCUAUUCAUAGUGCUCGACUCUACGAGGUCACCAAGAAGAAGAUGUGAUUCACCAUCUAUGAAGAUGGAUGCAGAUUGGGCCAUGCAUGCCUUGGGUUAGUGCUCCUAAUUAAGGUCAUGGGCUAGAGCCUUUUGGACUUGUUGGUGGGUGGUGGGUAAGAGAGGAGUAUGGGGUUUGUCUGAUGUGUUUCUAUAAAAAAAAUAGAGUUCAAGCACUUGAGGGUUUUGAGGUAGCAGAAGCAGUAGCAAGAUUCAAUGAGUAUGAGUGCAGUAAGUACAGUUGCAGAAUCAAUUUAGUGACAACAGUAGUAUAGGUUAUCUUCAGCAAGUGUAGUAGCAGCUAAGUUUCCAGCAAGUGCAGUAGUAGCUAAAUUUCCAACAAGUGCAGCAGCAGCUAACUCCAACAAGUACAACAGUAGCUAACUCCAACAAGUACAGCAGUAGCUAACUCCAGCAAGAGCAGUAGCAGCUAAACCAAGACAUGGUUAGAGAAGUAGUAGUAACGGGAUAAGUAGUAGCAAUCGACAAUAGCAGCGAGAUGAGUAGUAGUAAUCGGCAGUAGCAACACGAUUGUGAACAGUUGGUAGUAGCAGCACAUUUAUAAACAGUCGGUAGUAGCAGUGCGUUAGUAAAAAAUAGCACAACAAGAGCACAUCGAGUGUAGUAGCAAAAAAAACAAAACGAGUAUGAGUGCUCUACAUUAGCAAAGACCAUGACGAGUGAUGUAAUAGAACCGAACAAUAGCAUAAUUCAUAAAUGAACUUUCCUUAUCAAUAAUUCAUAAAUGAGCUUUCCCUAUCAAUAGUAGCAGUCAUAAAUGAAUUUUUCUGUCAAUACUGCAUUUACUGAAACUGCUACUACACUAGCCAAACCAAUAAAAACUUGCUACUACAACACACUGAAAAUAGCUGCUAUUACUGAGCCACUAAAAACCUGCUACCGCACUUACUGUAGCUGCUACUACACUAGCUGAACCAUUAAAACUUUGCUACUACAUUUGUUGGAAGUGCGUGUUAUUGCUACUGCAACACGCACUGAAAAUAGCUGCUACUACAUUUGUUGAGCCGCUAAAAAUCUGCUACUGCACUUACUGAAGCUGCUACUACACUAGUUGAAUCAUUAAAACUCUGCUAUUACAUUUGUUGGAAGUGCAUGUUGUACUGAAAAUAGCUGCUACUACAUUUGUUGAGCCGCUAAAAAUCUGCUACUGCACUUACUGAAGCUGCUACUACACUAGUUGAACCAUUAAAACUCUGCUAUUACAUUUGUUGGAAGUGCAUGUUGUACUGAAAAUAGCUGCUACUACAUUUGCUGAGCCACUAAAAACUUGCUACUAGACCUGUAAAUGGACCGGAUCUGGAGCGGAUCGACCUAGAUCCGGAUCCGGAUCCGUAAUAGAAAUUUUAGAUCCGAAUCCGACCCGUUACCCGUCGGAUCUUUAAUAGCUAGAUCCAAAUCCGGAUCCAGCGGGUUAACGGAUACCCGACCCGUUAAUCCGAUCCGUUUAUAAUAAUAAAUAUUUUCAAAUUUUAAAUAAUAAUUUUUUAAUUUUAUCAUAAAUUUUCAUAAAACACUAAUGAAAUAUUAUAACAAAAUAAAUGUUUACAUUAAAAAUUGAAUUAUAUGACCAAAAUACUUCUUAACAAUAAACUAAUAUAUUCAAAAUACUAGACCUCCAAUGUAUUUAUUAGCAAAGAGUAUAAAAAAAAUAUACGCAUAAGUAAUCUUCAACUUCAUCAAAUGAUCAUACUUUAGAUGCAAUUUAGACGUUUAGGUUAUCCAAAUAAUUAUUAUAUUAUUGAAUAUUUAUCAAUAAUAUUAUAUUUAUAAAAAUAUUAUUUAAUUAUUUUAAAACGGAUCCGGGUCCUUAACGGACCGGAUCAACCUCGAUCCGUAUCCGAUCCGUUUAAUAAACGGGUUAACGGAUCCGGGUCCUUAGUGGAUCAACAUGUCUAAUUUUCGAUCCAAACCCGUUUAAAAACCACGGAUCCGGAGCGGGUCCGGAUCAAGAUCCGGUCCAUUUACAGGUCUACUUGCUACUGCACUUACUGAAACUGCUGCUACUACAUUUGUUGGAAGUGCGUGUUGCUACUACAACACGCACUGAAAAUAGCUGUUGCACAUUUGCUGAGCCACUAAAAAUCUGCUAUUGCACUUACUGAAGCUGCUACUACACUAGCUGAACCAUUAAAACCCUGCUACUACAUUUGUUGAAAGUGUAGUAGCAAUUAACUCUCCAGUAAAUUAAACAUGCUACUACAUUAGUUGAGCCACUAAAAACCUGAUACUGUAGUUACUGAAGCUGCUACUGCAUUUAUUGGAAGUGUAGUAGCAACACCAACAUUCCAGGAACAGCAAGUGCAGUAGCAGCUAAAACAAUAUAUGGUGGGGUCUGAUUUAAUUUGAUUUAUUUUAAGGUCAGUUUAAUAAAUUAAACCAUAAUGCAUGGUAAACAGAAAAUAAUUUUUCCUUAUUUGUUAAAAAUUGUCCUAGUUAGUUUAAUAACAACACAACUGAAUUUAUUUGUGUUUCAAAUUCUUUUGGAGGAUGUAUAUGUGAUUUGUUUUAUGUUUAAAGCCAUAAAUCUUAGGCUUUGUUAAGGCUCUCUAACGCUACUCAUAUAUAAAGGAAUUACGAGACAUUUACAUAUAUAUCGUCCUUUCUUUAUUGGUGUCGUUAUGCACUUGAGCUUUGAUACUUGUUAUCCGUCGAUAUGAUAAUGACCUAUUUUAGU